CGGUCUGAGCUCAGAUAGGUCGGUUCGGGUGGGUCCGGUCUGAGCUCAGAUAGGUCGGUUCGGGUGGGUCCGGUCUGAGCUCAGAUAGGUCGGUUCGGGUGGGUCCGGUCUGAGCUCAGAUAGGUCGGUUCGGGUGGGUCCGGUCUGAGCUCAGAUAGGUCGGUUCGAGUGGGUCCGGUCUGAGCUCAGAUAGGUCGGUUCCGGUGGGUCCAGUCUGAGCUCAGAUAGGUCGGUUCCGGUGGGUCCGGUCUGAGCUCAGAUAGGUCGGUUCCGGUGGGUCCAGUCUGAGCUCAGAUAGGUCGGUUCCGGUGGGUCCGGUCUGAGCUCAGAUAGGUCGGUUCCGGUGGGUCCAGUCUGAGCUCAGAUAGGUCGGUUCCGGUGGGUCCGGUCUGAGCUCAGAUA